AGUGACCUCCCCACCACCCGCCCGCCCUCUUCCCCAAUCCCACCCUGUUCAUAUAAUAGGGUGACCGGGGUCGCGGGUCCGAUCAGCCCGUCCGGCUGGUCCCGGCUCCGACCCGUUGCAAACCCGUCCGGCCUCCCUCGACCCCGCUUGGCUGCCCGGUUCUUGGACGGUUCUUGGGACGGCCCUUCCCCACCCACAAGGGUCCGCUGUUGCAGUGGCGUAUUACACAAAGCUUAUAAAUAAAUCCAGUCAACCUUGGUGGGAAUUCUUGGGAGGUGAAGCAUUCAGGACUCCAGCCGAAAGACGAACCCUAAUUGGGAACUGCAGCACAACCACUUCCAGGAAUUGGCAAAAGAACACAAAAUGCUCUGGAUUCCCACGGGCCCCCAUCCAAUUGCUAGCCAGAUCCGACUCGGCUUCACUUCCGCGCUCUAAACCGCUCCCCCAAAACUUCUGCUUGCUCGUUCCAAUUACAGGUAGUCCUCAACUUUUAACGACCACAAAAUUGAGCACAAAAUGUAUAUUGCUAAGCGAGACAUUUGUCUAGUGGGUUCUUCCCCCACAUUACGACUUUUCUUGCCACGUUUGUUAAAUGAAUCACUGCGGCGGUUAAAUUAGUCCCGCGGGUGGUUAAGUGAACCUGGUUUCCCUGUUGAUUUUGCUCGUCAGAAGAUCAACAAAACGGGAUGAUGUGAUCGCGCGGGACACUGCAACCGUCGUAAAUGUGAGUCAGUGGUCAAAGCAUCCGAAUGUAAAUCAGGUGACCGUAGGGAUGCUGCCACGGAUCCUAAGUAUGAAAAAUGGUCAUAAAGUCACUUUUUGCAGUACCGUUGGUAACAUCGAAUGGUCACUAAAUUAACCAUCGUAAGUCGAGGACUACCUACCCUGGUUCCCCAAAAAUAAGACAUCCCCUAAUAAUAAGCCCGGGGACACGGUGGCUCAGGGGCUAGGACAUUGAGCUUGUUGAUCGAAAGGUCAGCAGCUCAGCGGUUCGAAUCCCUAGUGCUGCCAUGUAAUGGGGUGAGCUCCUGUUACUUGUCUCAGCUUCUGCCAACCUA